rfam:Schistosoma haematobium scaffold268_21, whole genome shotgun sequence.
ACAAUUUGUAUGAAUGUUGAGUUUCAUUGUGAACAUGUAAAUAAAUCCAAAUACAUUCAACUGACCUAUCUUGAACAGGACAAAUGUACAUCAUGGAUUCAAUUCUCAGCCCCUAUGCAAUAUCUUGUCAAAAAUGCAAAUGUUUUGAUCUUUCGACGUCAGAUCUUCCUAGCAUUGUGAAGUAGAAUUCACCAAACUUUGGAUUGUUCACCCACUAUUAGGGAACGUGAGCUGAGUUUAGAUCGUUGUGAAACAGGUUAGUUAUGCCCUACUAAUGAGUACAUCAGUGAAGUACAAUCUGGCCGUUGUUAUGGUAAUCCUGUGUAGUACGAAAGGAACUGCAGGUUCAGAUAAUUGAUAUAUGUGCUUGGUCUAAAGGCCAAUGGUGCGAAGCUACCAUCUGAAGGAUUAAGACUGAACGUCCCUAAGUCUGAAUCCCGUCCAAAUUUGCAACGGUACAUUCUGUAUCCGACACGUGGCUAGGCAAGCUUACGUAUUCCUUCUGGUGUCUGGACUGAACUAUGUGUUCGACUAGGCCCAUUAGGUUGAGUGUUAUGCCAGAGCGACGACCAUAAACCGUGCUCCGAAUUUCGGAGUACGGAGGUCGACACGAUAUCAAAUUUGUGGUAUGAGCGUGAGGAUACUAAUUAGUUUGUGCUAGAGCAGCUUUCACACUGCGAGGCAUUGGGUCCUAUCCCUGCUUGACGUAAUGAUUU